rnacentral:lncRNA from 1 species
UCGGGCCCCGUCAUGGAAAACUGAUUUAGAUACUUUACAUGGGACCGACCUGACCCAUGAGCAACUUUACUUAAAAGUAUGUUGUAAGGGCCCAAUUUUGCCCGGGCCCUAAACAACAACCAAAAAAAUAAAAAUAACAACAGUCCAAAGUCCAUCAGACCCAAUUUUACAAUUACAAAGCCCAAAUUAAACAAAAAACCCUAGUAGCCCAAUAAGUCCAAACCUUAAACAAUUUUCAGCAAAAAAAAAAAAAAGAGAGGGAACAGAAACCCUAGCCGUCACUCCCCAUUUUGCCCCAUGUCAGCGCCGCACCAACUCCUCUACCACC